GACGUAGGGCGCAAGCGUUGUCCGGAUUUAUUGGGCGUAAAGAGCUCGUAGGCGGCUUGUCGCGUCGACCGUGAAAACCCGCAGCUCAACUGCGGGCUUGCGGUCGAUACGGGCAGGCUCGAGUUCGGUAGGGGAGACUGGAAUUCCUGGUGUAGCGGUGAAAUGCGUAGAUAUCAGGAGGAACACCGGUGGUGUAGACGGCUUUCUGGACCGACACUGACGCUGAGACACGAAAGCGUGGGUAGCAAACAGG
rnacentral:rRNA from 1 species